AGGAGCCAUAGUUUUUGCAUUGAAGAUUUGGAGGCAUUACCUUUACGGAACCAAGUGCACGAUCUUCACCGACCAUAAGAGCCUGCAACACAUCUUCGACCAAAAAGACUUGAACAUGAGGCAAAGGCGAUGGGUAGAAUUACUCAGUGAUUAUGAGUGUGAAAUUCGUUACCAUGCCGACAAGGCCAAUGUGGUAGCAGAUGCCCUUAUCCGAAAGGAGAGUACAAGCAACAAGGUGAAGAGUCAGUCGAUAACCAUCCAUUCCAACCUACCCAUGCAAAUCCGAGAAGCUCAGUUAGAAGCCCUGAAACCCGAGAACAUGUCAACUGAAGCUUUGAGAGGAAUGGAAAAGAAACUUGAGAUCAGAAGUGACGGAGUCCAUUGUUUCAUGGAUCGGAUCUGGAUUCCCAAGUCCGGAGGAUUUAGAGAGUUAGUCAUGGAGGAGGCACACAGAACCAGAUACUCUGUUCACCCGGGCUCUGACAAGAUGUACUUAGAUCUCAAGAAACAAUAUUGGUGGCCAAAUAUGAAGGCUGAGAUAGCUUCAUUUGUGGGCAAGUGUCUGACUUGCGCCAAGGUAAAAGUUGAACACCAGAAACCCUCGGGUCUGCUCCAACAACCUGAGAUACCUGAAUGGAAAUGGGAGAUGAUCACCAUGGAUUUCAUCACCAAACUACCCAAGUGCUCGAGUGGGUAUGAUACCAUUUGGGUGAUUGUCGAUCGUUUGACAAAGUCAGCUCACUUCGUUCCAAUCAAAGAAUCAUACAAGAUGGAAAGACUCGCACGGAUAUAUAUUCAGGAGGUAGUCCGACUGCACGGCGUACCUGCAUCCAUUAUCUCUGAUCGAGAUAGUAGGNAAGCAAUAUUGGUGGCCAAAUAUGAAGGCUGAGAUAGCUUCAUAUGUGGGCAAGUGUUUGACUUGCGCCAAGGUAAAAGUUGAACAUCAGAAACCCUCGGGUCUGCUCCAGCAACCUGAGAUACCUGAAUGGAAAUGGGAGAUGAUCACCAUGGAUUUCAUCACCAAACUACCCAAGUGCUCGAGUGGGUAUGAUACCAUUUGGGUGAUUGUCG
rnacentral:lncRNA from 1 species